rnacentral:rRNA from 1 species
CUAAGGCGUCGAAGUAGUGUAUGUCAUACUUCCAAGAAAAGCUUGCACUGUCAUUCAUAAAAAAUGCCUGUACCAUAACCGACACAGUUGGGUAGGUAGAGUAUACUAAGGGGCGCGAGAUAACUCUCUCUAAGGAACUCGGCAAAAUAACUCCGUAACUUCGGGAGAAGGAGUGCCUUAUUUAUAUAAGGUUGCAAUAACAAGAUCCAAGCAACUGUUUACCAAAAACACAGGUCUCCGCUAAGUCGUAAGACGAUGUAUGGGGGCUGACGCCUGCCCAGUGCCAGAAGGUUAAAGAAGUUGGUUAGCAAUAGCGAAGCUGAUAACUGAAGCCCUGGUGAACGGCGGCCGUAACUAUAACGGUCCUAAGGUAGCGAAAUUCCUUGUCGGGUAAGUUCCGACCCGCACGAAAGGCGUAAUGAUAUGGAUACUGUCUCGGAGAGGGACUCGGUGAAAUAGACUUGUCUGUGAAGAUGCGGACUACCUGCACCUGGACAGAAAGACCCUAUGAAGCUUUACUGUAACUUGAAAUUGAAAUUGGACUUUAUUCGCGCAGUAUAGGUGGGAGGCGUUGAAAAUAAUCUUGCGGGACUAUUGGAGCCAUCAGUGAGAUACCACUCUUAUAAUGUUAGAUUUCUAACUUUGAAUCAUUAUCUGGUCAAAGAACAGUUUCAGGCGGGCAGUUUGACUGGGGCGGUCGCCUCCCAAACGGUAACGGAGGCGUACAAAGGUUUCCUCUGAACGGGUAGAAAUCGUAUCUAGAGUAUAAAGGCAAAAGGAAGCUUGACUGUGAGACCUACAAGUCGAGCAGGGACGAAAGUCGGUCUUAGUGAUCUGACGGUACUGAGUGGAAAGGCCGUCACUCAACGGAUAAAAGUUACUCUAAGGAUAACAGGCUGAUCUCCCCCAAGAGCUCACAUCGACGGGGAGGUUUGGCACCUCGAUGUCGGCUCAUCGCAUCCUGGGGCGGUAGUACGUCCCAAGGGUUGGGCUGUUCGCCCAUGAAAGCGGUACGCGAGCUGGGUUCAGAACGUCGUGAGACAGUUCGGUCCAUAUCCGGUGUAGGCGUUAGAAUGUUGAGAGGAGCCUUCUUUAGUACGAGAGGACCGAGAAGGACAUACCUCUGGUGUACCAGUUAUCGUGCCAACGGUAAACGCUGGGUAGCUAUGUAUGGAGUGGAUAACCGCUGAAAGCAUCUAAGUGGGAAGCCCACCUCAAGAUGAGUA